GAGUUGAUGAGAAAGUGGGCAGAUCGGCUCUAUUCACAGCUGGGGGAAACUGACCACUUUAACAAAAGGAAGAAUGCUCAGGUAACAUCUAGCCCAAAGGUCGCUCAGGAAUGUUCAAAGCACUCAGGAGAGAGUGAAGUAUCCCAUCUUUGGGACACACAAGUCCCACUCAGCAUCCAUUGAAAGCGAAGCACCAAAAGCAUUGAGAUGGUGGCAGGACCUCAUUUUCCCUCUUCUCUAUUCCCUUACUCUUUCUCCAGCACAGAAGAAGCCUUGCUGAACACCUCCCGAGCAGAUGGCAUCAGAGAGAAGCUGGAUGUUUUUCCUCAAAUGGAUUAAGAAAGCAGAAGCUUCUGCCAGGGGUAACAAUGCCACUUGUGGGCACCACUGAUUUUUAAAGCACUCCACAUUCAUUAGCUCAUGGAGCCUUCGCAGCAUCCCUGGAAGGCAAGACGUUGGUAGGUAUUAUUCCCAUUUCAGAGAGGAGAAACAGGGUCAGAGAGCCACCUCAUUCUGUCAUCAAAAGGGUCACUACUGAAAUCUGGAGCACUCACUUGGAGCUCAAGUUUCCCUGCACAAGAGCUGCAUGGCACUAGGACAUUUCUCAUCUGCAACACACACCCAUGCCCACAAACCCUUGUAUACAUAAGCCCACAGCUUGCAUGCGCCCAGCCAUCUGAGUCUGGGACUUUCGUAGGAGUCAAAAUGGAAUUGUG
rnacentral:lncRNA from 1 species